UUAUAAAUAGUGUAAUGUGUGGGUGUUUGUGUAUCUAUACUUUAGAGAAUACCAUUCGUGCCCAUUAUAGCAAUCGACAGAUGAUCAGAUUAAAAUGAAAAAAUCGCCACCCAUUACUAUUAGUAGUAGAUGACUAUUUUACUGAAAUAUCCCUAAAAUUCAAAAACAUUCAAAAACAUUCCUUGUGCCUUUACAACAUUCCUUGUAGCAGAUGGAGUAAAAAAAAUCUCUCUUUUCCGCCGAUUACUUCAGUCCUCUCCCGCUGAUAGCUUGUUCCAUCUCCCUACAAAUCCAUAUAUUGGCCCCAAAAUCAAAGUUUCUAAAGCUUGGGACGAAGAUUGUUAUUAUCCAUCCACUAAAUUGGCACAAAUUAAUUCGUAAGUAAUGUAUAUGCAUCUCACUCUGCCUCCUUAUGGAUGGGUAUUGACAUGUACAAGAACCUUGAAAAAUUAUUAUAUAUAUUAGAUGUCAUUUUGCAUCCACUUCAAU
rnacentral:lncRNA from 1 species